rnacentral:miRNA from 1 species
UUCCAAGUGUUAUGAGUCAAAGU